rnacentral:rRNA from 1 species
GACGAACGCUGGCGGCGUGCUUAAAACAUGCAAGUCGAACGAGAGCUUCGGCUCUAGUGGCAAACGGCUGAGUAACGCGUGGGUGACCUACCUGGAAGUGGGGAAUAACUGCCCGAAAGG